rnacentral:rRNA from 1 species
UACGAAGGGGGCGAGCGUUGUUCGGAAUUACUGGGCGUAAAGGGCGCGUAGGCGGCCGAUCAAGUCAGAUGUGAAAGUCCUGGGCUUAACCUGGGGACUGCAUUUGAUACUGAUUGGCUUGAAUUCGGGAGAGGAUAGCGGAAUUCCCAGUGUAGAGGUGAAAUUCGUAGAUAUUGGGAAGAACACCCGUGGCGAAGGCGGCUCUCUGGGACGGUACUGACGCUGAGACGCGAAAGCGUGGGGAGCGAACAGG